GCAGGCGCACGCACAACGCAAGCACGCUCGCGGCGGGCGCCUCUGGUGGUGGUUAGUUUUAUCUUGAAGUCUGCGAGGUUUGAGGCGUUUGCUGGGGAUCUCGAGCCUCGGGGUUCUCUAUGGUCUCAGGGUCUGAAGCGGCUUGUGCCGAGGCGUCGCUUUCCCUCUCGGCUCUCCUCCAAAAGCUCCUGAGCUCCGUAAUCUGCAUUAACUCCCAGCCUUUCGCGCUCCAUCUAGAGAUGAGCAAGCGAUCGCUAGAGAUAGAAAGUGAUUGCUCAUCCCGUUUUUGCUUCCAGCCCUCUUCCGGAAAGCUGCAUCCAAAAGCCGCAUUCUUACUCAUUUGUCCUUUCUAAUCCAAGUCUGGCGUGUUACAGCUCAGUGGCAGUGAAUGAAUAAGGCCACUGUUGAGUCUCCAGCACCAGUAAUUUCUGAGGCUCUAUAGAUUACUGGGAGUCUGUGUCAGAGAUCAUGAAGUCUGUUUAUGGAAACUUUGGAUAAACUGCAGCCAGGCGCAGGCCCAAACAGAAAAAGGCGUCCAAAUUCUUACUGGGCAUAGGUCAAAUGGUUAAUAAAAGACCCUUAGGAUUUUUUCACUUGGGUCACGGUGACUAUACUGUUCAAAGAAGCUUUAGGAUUGCCGUCUUCCUCCAAGUCCCCGCUUUCUGGUUGUAAUGGCUUUGUCUAUUGAGUGUUUAUUGCGAAGUAUGUAUUUUAUGUGGAUCAUCUCACAUGGUAUUCCCAACGUUCAAGAUGGAUCGAUUCCAGAAGAAAGGCUCAGGGAAAACUACCAGCAUUGGCAAAUGUGUGCUUCUUCAGUGCACAGCUGGAGAAGGAAAGGGAUGAUGUGGAGAAGCUGGACAGAAGGGAGCCGGGCCGCCCAUCACUCAAGUGCCAGCAUAAGCAAGCACCAAGGGAGUCACACAGAGAUGGCCAGAGGACACCUGCUGUGUGGCAUUUCCAUUGUGCUCUGACUAACAAAGCUGCCCAUGGAGGUUUGGAGAACUGAGGACAGAUAGCACACAGGAAGUGGUGAGGCGGGGCUGAGAGGGGAUCUGGGCCCUUUUGGAUGGGGGAACUGAAGAGGUAGGAAACGACUAUGGCUGCUCCCCUGCUUCUCUGAUCUUUCAGGUUUGUACCCCAAUUUCUGACUCCUGGGUUUUUUUUAUUGAUAAGAUUAAUUAGAUUUAUACUCAGACACUCA